UACGUAGGGUGCAAGCGUUGUCCGGAAUUAUUGGGCGUAAAGAGCUCGUAGGCGGUCUGUCGCGUCUGCUGUGAAAACUCAGGGCUUAACCCUGAGCUUGCAGUGGGUACGGGGCAGACUAGAGUGCGGUAGGGGAGACUGGAAUUCCUGGUGUAGCGGUGAAAUGCGCAGAUAUCAGGAAGAACACCCGUGGCGGAAAGCGGCUCUCUGGGACGGUACUGGACGCUGAGACGCGAAAGCGUUGGGGAGCGAACAGG
rnacentral:rRNA from 1 species